rnacentral:rRNA from 1 species
GUGCACCAGUCGCGAAAACUCCGCAAUGCUCGAAAGAGUGACGGGGGGAUUCCAAGUGCCUACGCUUAGCGUAGGCUGUUCAGAUGCCUAAAAAGCAUCUGGAGUAAGGGCUGGGUAAGACGGGUGCCAUCUGCAGUGGUAAUGAAAAAACCUGCUACUGCAAGGCAUAAGCCGCGCGGUAAUACCCGCAGCCCGAGUGGUAGUCGCUUUUAUUGGGCCUAAAGCGUCCGUAGCCGGUCUGGUAAAUGCCUGGGGUAAAAUCGUGGGGCCUAAACCUCACGAACUCCGGGUAGACUGCCAGACUUGGGACCGGUUGAGGGAGAGGGUACUCCA